rnacentral:rRNA from 1 species
AAAUUGAAGAGUUUGAUCAUGGCUCAGAUUGAACGCUGGCGGCAGGCCUAACACAUGCAAGUCGAGCGGUAGCACAGAGGAGCUUGCUCCUUGGGUGACGAGCGGCGGACGGGUGAGUAAUGUCUGGGAAACUGCCUGAUGGAGGGGGAUAACUACUGGAAACGGUAGCUAAUACCGCAUAACGUCUUCGGACCAAAGAGGGGGACCUUCGGG